rnacentral:lncRNA from 1 species
CUCUUAUAUUAUGUGAUAUCUCGAAAGCUUUUGAUAAGGUAUGGCAUAGUGGCCUCUUAAUAAAACUAAAGGCGUAUGGUAUUGAUGGAAAUCUGUUUAAAUGGUUUGAAAGUUAUAUUUCAAAUGGAAAAUAAAGCGUUUUUGUUUCAAAUGCCUAUUCGCCUUUUGAUAAUACUAAUGCAGGAGUUCCGCAAGGCUGUGUAUUAGGUCCCC